UACGGAGGAUGCGAGCGUUAUCCGGAUUUAUUGGGUUUAAAGGGUGCGCAGGCGGUCUGUUAAGUCAGCGGUCAAAGCCCGGGGCUCAACCCCGGCCCGCCGUUGAAACUGUCGGACUAGAGACGGCGAGAAGUACGCGGAAUGCGCGGUGUAGCGGUGAAAUGCAUAGAUAUCGCGCAGAACUCCGAUUGCGAAGGCAGCGUACCGGCGCCGGACUGACGCUGAGGCACGAAAGCGUGGGUAUCAAACAGG
rnacentral:rRNA from 1 species